GCAGAUUUAAGAGCUUACAAAAUUAGACCUAAACACACAAAAUUAUCACAAAAAAAGAAAAAUCAUCAAAACACCAAAAAGUUACAAACCGCACUCAUAACCUCACAUAAUACACUUAUCCUAACCCACUCACCACCUCAAAUCACCAUCAUUUCGCUCACACUUAACCUCGCAAGUUACCCUCCAAACCUCACUUACUACUCCCAUCCUCAUUACUCUUAAGCUCUCAAACACACCCGACCACUCGACCUCACAGAGUCACCAACAUCAACAGUACAACAUCUUCAAGCUUCCGCGACCAACACCAUUUGAGUCAUCUUGCAAGAAGAGGAAACCACAAAGUUAGUACGACUUAAAGGGAGCCAAAACCAUCUGAAAAGUAAAAGGUACACAAAACAUAAACUAUCAAAGAAUUCACUUUAUUAUUCUAAUUACGCACCAUUUCAUCAUCAUUAUCAUUAUAAGCAUGCUUUGAUUAGUAGUUGUCAAAAGCACUACUAACCUUGACCCUAUCCCUUUUGAUGUUGGCUUGGUAUUUUGUGAUGUUUACACUUAAAUAACUUCACAUGUGAUGAAAAUGAGUUUGCUAGCUAUAAUGAACGAAUGCUAGGACAGACUUAAUAAUGGAUUGAGCUAAGAAAGCCGAAUAGAGAAUGAACAAGUUGUAGAAACCUAGAGAACUCUAAUCUGCAUUGCACUUUGAAUACCAAACCGAGCGAGACACAAAACUAGCACAAAAUCAUCCAUCAACGUCAUCUCAAAAUCACUGCAAAAAACUUAGCCAAGAUCAAACCAAAAAUCAGCCGUUACCAUCACAAAGCCAUCAAAGGAUCAAUCGCCAUCACACAUAUGAUACACCAAAACUCAGCCCCUACUCUAUUACACAAGACCGCCAUAAACUCAGUGACAACCGCCACAUAAAUCACCAAAGAUCAGCUGACAUCAAACAAUCUCAACCAAGCAACCAAUUCAUGCUUUCAACUACACUAGAUCAAUUCCAUGACAGUAAACUCAGUUAGACUUCCUUGGAUACAAGUUUCCUAAUAUAAACACACUCAUAUCAAGUAAGCAAUGUAAGGAACUAGGAAAUACGAGUCUAAAAAUGCGGAACGCAUAGGGUUGAAUAAUCAAUGGUCAUACUAAUAAAGUUUCUGGGUUUAUGGAAUAACAAAGUAAAGCAAGGGUUUGGUUCUAGUGUGGUUAGUUCUUCACUUAAUUGUGACAGCCUUCUCAGUGUCGAGCAACCAUUAGCCUGCCUAGUUACGUUAAGUCCGUCCCUCCCAUCUUGUGAAUGAAACCAAAGCCUACAAGCUUCAAACAAGCAUUGGUUAGAAGGUUAAGUUUUAUUUAAAAGACCAGGGUAUUACACCUUCAUCUCUAUAUUACUACAUAGAAAUUAAUAGAAUCUCGGAGAGGAGGAGAAACCAAAUCCGAACCUGAAUGUGAUGGAGUUUGAACUGAGUAUUUUCAUUUCACUCUCCCGACGAAUCGACCCCUAAAACUCCCAAGCCACCAUAAUGCUUAUACAUUAGCUUCAAACACCAAACAACCCAACAACCGGCAUCAUUACCAUAAGCUCGACAAGUACUAAGUCCUACUCAGACCAAUCACGCGGCAAAAACACUAAGACAGAAAUCAUGGAUGCUGAAUCGUUAC
rnacentral:lncRNA from 1 species